rnacentral:rRNA from 1 species
CCUACGGGAGGCAGCAGUGAGGAAUAUUGGUCAAUGAACGAAAGUCUGAACCAGCCAAGUAGCGUGAAGGAUGACUGCCCUAUGGGUGGUAAACUUCUUUUAUAUGGAAGUAAAAUGUUCCACGUGUGUGCUUUUGUAUGUACCUUAUGAAUAAAGAUCGGCUAACUCCGUUCCAGCAGCCGCGGUAAUACGGAGGAUCCGUGCGUUAUCCGGAUUUAUUGGGUUUAAAGGGAGCGUACGGGGAUUGUUAAGUCAGUUGUGAAAGUUUGGGGCUUAACCGUAGAAUUGCAGUUGAAACUGGCAGUCUGGAGUAAAGUAGAGGUGGGCGGAAUUCGUGGUGUAGCGGUGAAAUGCUUAGAUAUCACGAAGAACUCCGAUUGCGAAGGCAGCUUACUGGACUGCAACUGACGCUGAGGCUCGAAAGUGUGGGUAUCAAACAGGAUUAGAUACCCUAGUAGUC